rnacentral:lncRNA from 1 species
AAAACCCUACCACUAACCUAGACCUAUAUAUAUGAAGCAAAGCCUAAAACUAAAGGAGGGGGGAACGAACAAAAAAAAAGGCUGCGCAUAAAAAUGAAAAACAAAAAGCUGCGGACCUAAAACGAAGAAAGCUUCUUCGUUUAAGAAGCUGGUACGAGCAGCAGCUGGAAAAAGCUGCGCAACACAGACGACCCCCCGACCAUCAUCUUCUCCAAACGACCCCCCCCUGUUCGCUUAUUCUUUCCUUCAGCAAACCAGAGCGAAAGUAGAACUAUACAAGCACGACCCCCACCCAUUUACAUCGUUCUCUUCGAUGAACCCUUUCCCCCAGAACACCGGCAACCCCUCGCCGGAAACCACCAGCCCUCAACCUGCGAUUUUUCUUCACAUAUCGGAAUUCAUGGAGGCGAGCUGCUCGACCUUGUUUUGAAGUCUAGCAUUUCAGUCCAAAGUUCAAGAAGUUGAGCCGAGGUGUCCAUCGUAGCCGAGUUCGAAGAGGUUUGGUCGAGUUUCGUUGAGGCUCCGGCGAAGCAUUCCGUUUUUCUGUCCGAAGCUCUGUUCGUUGUUGCUUGUUCCAUUCGAGGUCGUUGUUUGUCAUUCUGAGUUCGUCGAGGUUCGAAAGUUCCUGUUCUUCGCCCUUUGUGUUCAUUUCGUGUAUUUCUUAUAAUUAUGAUUCAACGUGAAGAUUUAUGUGAAUUUUUGUUACUUGUGAUAUUUUGAGGAAGAAUCUCAUUAAUUCUAGGUUACGUACUUUCCAGCCGUUUUACAAUGUAUAAGAUGUGUUUUGCUACUAGUCAUGGUAAAGUUUUCCGUUAUACUAACGAAUAGUUUACUGGAUAACGAAAAUGACGUUAAUUACAAGCCUUUUCUUGCAAAUGGAAUAGACCAAUUGGCUAUAACAUUAGAUGAACUUGGUCUUUCGUAUUUUGUUUACCAAUUGGCAAUUAUUUGUAUUACAUUAGCAGUUCAAUUUGUCUCUCUAUCCCUGACUCCAACAAAUAAAAAGGGAUGGAGGAAAUUUCAUGUUAUAGAUCGUGGGUACGGUUCCCGUGACGCGAUUCGUAAUAUUUUUGUAGAAUAAUAAUUAAAUAAAGUGUCAUAGCUACGGGUACGGUUCCCGUGACAUAGUUGUGAUACACAAUUUUUAAAUCCGGGUGCGCAUUGAUGCGACCCAAAUCCAAAUCUCAAUGGAGUCGAAAUGUGUAAACGACCACGAGUGCAUUGAUUGUGACGUGGUUCGAAGCGCGUUUUCACGACGUCGUGAUUCCUUUAAAAUAAACGAUGACAAAAAGCUGUUUACGAAUAAAAGGCACAUAAGCUAGCAUUUAUUAAAAUCAGAUAAAAUCAAAUGCAACAGUUAAGCGACCGUGUUAGAACCACGGAACCAGGGAAUGCCUAACACCUUCUCCCGGGUUAACAGAAUUCCUUACUCGGAUUUCUGGUUCGUAGACUGUAACAGAGUCACAUUCUUCCUCGGUUCGGGAUUCAACCGGUGACUUAGGACACCCUUAAUCUCCCAGGUGGCGACUCUGAACAAUAAUAAUUAAAUCCCGUUCCGAUUGUCCUUUAACAGGAAAAACUCCUAUUUUCGUACACCUUCACGAGUACAGGUAAAAAGGAGGUGUGACAUAUAUAUAUAUAUAUAUAUAGAGAGAGAGAGAGAGAGAUUUUUAUUUCUCUUUUUUCUAAUAUUUUUUUAUUUUUUGCUAUUUUCCUUCAUUUUAAAGCUUUUUUCCCCUCCAAAGAAAUUAUUCAAUUAUUCUACCGUUUCUCUAUCCGUAAGUUCCUUCCCCAAUUAAAUCUCGUUACUUCAUCAACUGUAUAUUGCUUCAUCAACUGUAACGUAAACUCCGUUCCCUGUUCAUAUAUAAAAUAUAAAAUUUUAUUUUUCUUUGUGCUUUACGGCUGAGUUCUUUAAGACCUGGAUGUGCUUUCACUCGUGAUGUGAAUUGUAAAGCCCCACAAAUUCCGUAAACAUCUAAGACAUUAAAGUGCGCCACUGCAUGGAAAAAGAGACUAUGAACUAGCACCAAACCACGUGAUUAUGAUAGUCAGUGUAGAAAGUAUAAUAAAAGUGAUUUAGGAUCUAAGGGUAGACCUAGAACCAAGUCAAGUCGGAAACAGACGCAAUGGACUAAAGUUUCAAAUAAGUUUGUGCAAGACUCAAAGGCGGAUUCCGACUUUGAAGUUUAUGGGUUUAUAUAAUGAUCUCAAGUUAUCAAUUGGGUUCACAAUCAAAUAUUUAAAGAUAUUUAAUAAUUUUUUAAUAUAUAUAAAAGGACAGUACAAAAAUUACUGGGUUCCCGGGAACCCGCACAUUACCGUCUAGAUCCGCCACUGACAAGACAUGACUUUAAAUAAUAACAACUCCCAGGACAUGAACAAUAUAUGAUGCAUGACUAUCAAGUGAAUGUCUACUGAGUUUAGUUAUCAAUGCUUCAAACCAUUUAUCAUUUGGAUAUUCUUACAAAAAAAUUAUGACCUUUUUAUUGUAGGGUGGCAGAACAGCUAUGCACACAGAGGAUGUGGGCUAUGUCGUAGGCUACGUGGCAACACGAACUCAAAAUUAUUUUUUUAAAAUUUAUUUAUAUAAUUUUCCAGAGUAACCGGGAUGUUGUAUUAUCUUCCAAAUAUAGGAAGGGAUGAUUGCUUUACCUCCAAAGAUUACACCACUAGGAUUUUCACAGAGAGGUGUUGUAACGACCGAUCGGUCGUUUUGAGCAAUUGCAUUUCGUUCGGUUAUUUGAGCGCAGGAGUACCUCCUUAAAAUAUAUUAUGACUUAUGUGAAUAGUCAGUUUUGGUUUUUAGAUUAUUCAGAAUUGAUUUGUAAGAAUGAUUCUCAGCUAGUAGCUUUAAAUUUGAAAGAUUUGACCAAGU